GCAGCCGCCGCGGGAAUACGAAGGGUGCAAGCGUUAAUCGGAAUUACUGGGCGUAAAGCGUGCGUAGGCGGUGAGUUAAGUCUGCUGUGAAAUCCCCGGGCUCAACCUGGGAAUGGCAGUGGAUACUGGCUCGCUAGAGUGUGUCAGAGGAUGGUGGAAUUCCCGGUGUAGCGGUGAAAUGCGUAGAGAUCGGGAGGAACAUCAGUGGCGAAGGCGGCCAUCUGGGACAACACUGACGCUGAGGCACGAAAGCGUGGGGAGCAAACAGGAUUAGAUACCCGCGUAGUCCCUGUCUCUUAUAC
rnacentral:rRNA from 1 species